rnacentral:rRNA from 1 species
GAUGAACGCUGGCGGCGUGCCUAAUACAUGCAAGUCGAGCGAACAGACGAGGAGCUUGCUCCUCUGACGUUAGCGGCGGACGGGUGAGUAACACGUGGAUAACCUACCUAUAAGACUGGGAUAACUUCGGGAAACCGGAGCUAAUACCGGAUAAUAUAUUGAACCGCAUGGUUCAAUAGUGAAAGACGGUUUUGCUGUCACUUAUAGAUGGAUCCGCGCCGCAUUAGCUAGUUGGUAAGGUAACGGCUUACCAAGGCAACGAUGCGUAGCCGAGCUGAGAGGGUGAUCGGCCACACUGGAACUGAACCACGGUCCAGACUCCUACGGGAGGCAGCAGUAGGGAAUCUUCCGCAAAGGGCGAAAGCCUGACGGAGCAACGCCGCGUGAGUGAUGAAGGUCUUCGGAUCGUAAAACUCUGUUAUUAGGGAAGAACAAAUGUGUAAGUAACUAUGCACGUCUUGACGGUACCUAAUCAGAAAGCCACGGCUAACUACGUG